rnacentral:lncRNA from 1 species
GAUGGUGACAUUUUACGAUAUCCCCGAUCAGUAUAUCCCGAUGACUAAUUUUGGUAAAGUUGUAAAUCCAUCCAUGGUGUCCUCGAGCAUGUUCGUCCUCGAGACACAAGUCCCGACCACAUCUCCAUCACGCUUCGCAUAUUGCAAAGAUGUGUCCUCGGGCACUGUCCUCGGGAAUAUGCUCCUCCUUACUGCUGACGAUUGUUCAUCCUUUAGAAUUCCUACGCAAUUAGGAAUCUUAACUCCCACAAGAGUCCUAUCUCACGCACAAUUCUGGAAUUCAACCAACUCCUUAACCAGCAGGACUCCAACAGAUGAGGACAUCCAGCUAGUUGAGCCCAAUUAGGAGAAUGUCACUUACUACUAUAAAUACAGAACUUUGAACCAUUAUUCAGGUACGUUUUCUCAUUGUUCUUCAGCAUAUAGCCUCACGCAUAUAUUUCCCUUUCUGACUUAAGCAUCGGAGGGGCGACGAGAACACACCUCGUUGCCUUUGUUUCAGGUAUCGGAAGAUCACGUUCGUGCUCAUCAUCAGUCAUCAAGCUCGGAAAAUCUACAGGUACGAUUUUUGGUAGCAUCAUUGGCGCCGUCUGUGGGAAGCGCUACCAAAAGUCAUGGUAAACACACGAUCAGGUCUUCCACCCGCAAGCUCAUCCGCUCCAAACCAACCCCCUCCUGAGGAUAUCCCUGUUCCUCAAGAGGAAUCAUCAGAAGUGCCAGAGCCCCAGCCCGCAGUCGUCACUACCAUAGCCUUUGAAGAGCUCAGACAACAGGUCGCCACACUGACUCAGCUGCUAAGUCAAAGAAAUUCGCAUCCA